rnacentral:ncRNA from 7 species
UCUAUCUAGCUCAGUUGGUGGAGCACGUGGUUUUGAACCAUGAGGUUGGGGGUUCAACCCCUCAACUCGCA